AGUCUGACGGAGCAACGCCGCGUGAGUGAAGAAGGGUUUCGGCUCGUAAAACUCUGUUGUUAAGGAGGAAUGACAGGUAGAGUAACUGCUACCUGUGUGACGGUACUUAACCAGAAAGCCACGGCUAACUACGUGCCAGCAGCCGCGGUAAUACGUAGGUGGCAAGCGUUAUCCGGAAUUAUUGGGCGUAAGGCGCGCGUAGGCGGUCUUUUAAGUCUGAUGUGAAAGCCCCCGGCUCAACCGGGGAGGGUCAUUGGAAACUGGGAGACUUGAGUGCAGAAGAGGAGAGUGGAAUUCCAUGUGUAGCGGUGAAAUGCGCAGAGAUAUGGAGGAACACCAGUGGCGAAGGCGGCUCUCUGGUCUGUAACUGACGCUGAUGUGCGAAAGCGUGGGGAUCAAACAGGAUUAGAUACACUGGUAGUCCACGCCGUAAACGAUGAGUGCUAAGUGUUAGGGGGUU
rnacentral:rRNA from 1 species